GCCGUCGUACGAGCAUCUUGGCGGAUGAGCGAACAUAUUGUCCUCGGCAUACAGUUCGGUCAGUGUUCCAACCAGUCGACGAAUCACAUUGUUUGAAACUACUUUUCUCUACAUUUUAAAUGAACGAUAUACAGCCUGCUAACACGCGCGAAUGCAACUGCAUUGUUUUUAUAGUCGAUCGUUAACUUUACCUUCGAACAAAUGCUCCAAAUAAAGAGCUCCGAAUACCAAGCGAUGCAUGGAAGAAAGUUCUUUGUACAACUGUUUUCUGUUUCUCAUAAUGCAAUCCAGGGCCAUUUAGCGAGACUCUGUAUUAGAAAUCUAUACAUAUAAUGCAUAGUGGAUGCAUCAGCGAGGAAAUUAGAAAGUCUGAAAUACGAAACACUUUAUCCAUUUAGAGACGAAGCAAUUUUUAGCCGAGGUGGCGCUACGUGUUUAAUAAUAUAUUGUCUCCCGUUUGAUUGUUACAAGAGAAGGAAAACGCGGGAAAUACAUUUUGAAAUUAAAGAUGGAAGUCAUAUGCCAAUUAAAGUACAUUAAAUUUUGUCAUCGUAUAUGUUUUUUAUUUCUCUCGAAUUAAACUAUGUAUUUAAUUGUCUGCAUUUAACUGCAUAAAAAAUACAUAAAUAUUCGUAGAAUGAGAACACGAUUUUCUAGAGAAAAUAGCACGUGCGUUACUGCAGGUGGUAUUCGCGAAUACAACGAUACACGUAAGCUUAAUAGUUCGAUGCUCUUAUUAGCUCGGAGUCCAAUUAAGGCCACAAUGAUACUCCAAGUAUUCUGCUACGUACUUCCUAGUGUCGCGAUAGAAUACCAAGCACGACAGCCAGGGGAAGUCAACGCGAUCAUUGACACCGUAAAAAAAUGAAGUUGCACAACAAGAUGUAGAUCAUUCUCGUCGCUGAAUGCUCGAUGGAACUUACCCAACCAACGAGGAAAGAAAAAUUCUAGAUAUUUCUAUUUUCUCCGAAUUAAUGCAACACAGUGCAAUGUUUAACCUGCUUUCAUCGUUUCAGCCUUCAACCCUAUUCGCGUGGCGUGACUCAAGCAAAAAAAUAAAACAGUUCAGAAGAUAUGUGCAUAGGUGAAGACCUUGAUUGUUCGCAUAUAGAAUCUGACCGCAUUUACACAGAGUAUUUAAUUAACGGUCAAUGAAGAAACAAAGAAAAAUUAAAUACUUGCAUUAGUCUUUUAGCUGUGACUUUUAGAAAAUAUUUA